GCAACGAGCGCAACCCUCGUCCUUAGUUGCCAUCAUUUAGUUGGGCACUUUAAGGAAACUGCCGGUGAUAAGCCGGAGGAAGGUGGGGAUGACGUCAAGUCCUCAUGGCCCUUACAGGCUGGGCUACACACGUGCUACAAUGGCAUCUACAGUGGGCAGCUAUCCCGCGAGGGUGAGCUAAUCUCCAAAAGAUGUCUCAGUUCGGAUUGUUCUCUGCAACUCGAGAGCAUGAAGGCGGAAUCGCUAGUAAUCGCGGAUCAGCAUGCCGCGGUGAAUACGUUCCCAGGCCUUGUACACACCGCCCGUCACACCAUGGGAGUUGGAUUCACCCGAAGGUA
rnacentral:rRNA from 1 species